rnacentral:rRNA from 1 species
AGCAGCCGCGGUAAUUCCAGCUCCAAUAGCGUAUAUUAAAGUUGUUGCAGUUAAAAAGCUCGUAGUUGAAUUUCGGGGUUAGUAGGCUGGUCGUGCCACUGGUAUGUACUGGUCUCACUGAUUCCUCCUUCCUGAUGAGCUGUAAUGCCAUUAAUUUGGUGUUGCAGGGAAUCUGGACUGUUACUUUGAAAAAUUAGAGUGUUUAAAGCAGGCUAACGCUUGAAUACAUUAGCAUGGAAUAAUGAAAUAGGACGAUCGAUCCUAUUUUGUUGGUUUCUAGGAUUGACGUAAUGAUUAAUAGGGAUAGUUGGGGGCAUUAGUAUUCAAUUGUCAGAGGUGAAAUUCUUGGAUUUAUUGAAGACUAACUACUGCGAAAGCAUUUGCCAAGGAUGUUUUCAUUAAUCAAGAACGAAAGUUAGGGGAUCGAAGACGAUCAGAUACCGUCGUAGUCUUAACCAUAAACCUAUGCCGACUAGGGAUCGGAUGAUGUAAUUUUUAAUGA